rnacentral:rRNA from 1 species
CNNCCUGCCGAUAACUCAGGGAUAGCCUUUCGAAAGAAAGAUUAAUACCUGAUGGCAUAGGAUUAUCNCAUGAUAAUCCUAUUAAAGAAUUUCGGUUAUCGAUGGGGAUGCGUUCCAUUAGGCAGUUGGUGAGGUAACGGCUCACCAAACCUUCGAUGGAUAGGGGUUCUGAGAGGAAGGUCCCCCACAUUGGAACUGAGACACGGUCCAAACUCCUACGGGAGGCAGCAGUGAGGAAUAUUGGUCAAUGGACGGGAGUCUGAACCAGCCAAGUAGCGUGAAGGAUGACUGCCCUAUGGGUUGUAAACUUCUUUUAUACGGGAAUAAAAUGAUCCACGUGUGGAUUUUUGUAUGUACCGUGUGAAUAAGGAUCGGCUAACUCCGUGCCAGCAGCCGCGGUAAUACGGAGGAUCCAAGCGUUAUCCGGAUUUAUUGGGUUUAAAGGGAGCGUAGGUUGACAUAUAAGUCAGCUGUGAAAGUUUACGGCUCAACCGUGAAAUUGCAGUUGAUACUGUAUGUCUUGAGUGUACAAGANGUGGGCGGAAUUCGUGGUGUAGCGGUGAAAUGCUUAGAUAUCACGAAGAACUCCGAUUG